rnacentral:rRNA from 1 species
AUUGAACGCUGGCGGCAGGCCUAACACAUGCAAGUCGAGCGGAUGAAGGGAGCUUGCGCCUGGAUUCAGCGGCGGACGGGUGAGUAAUGCCUAGGAAUCUGCCUUGUAGUGGGGGAUAACGUCCGGAAACGGGCGCUAAUACCGCAUACGUCCUUAGGGAGAAAGGGGGGGAUCUUUGGACCUCACGCUAUCAGAUGAGCCUAGGACGGAUUAGCUAGUUGGUGGGGUAAAGGCCUACCAAGGCGACGAUCCGUAACUGGUCUGAGAGGAUGAUCAGUCACACUGGAACUGAGACACGGUCCAGACUCCUACGGGAGGCAGCAGUGGGGAAUAUUGGACAAUGGGCGAAAGCCUGAUCCAGCCAUGCCGCGUGUGUGAAGAAGGUCUUCGGAUUGUAAAGCUCUUUAAGUUGGGAGGAAGGGCAGUAAGUUAAUCCCUUGCUGUUUUGACGUUACCAAAAGAAUAAGCCCCGGCUAACUUCGUG